rnacentral:lncRNA from 1 species
GAAGAUGGAGGGACAAAGGCAGAUGAUAGUGAAGGUAAUGCAGCUGGACAAGGAGAUUCCGAGGAGAAUUCUACAGAGAAGAAACCUGAUACUGAUGAGACCGAAACAAAAUCCGAUGAGAAUGCUGGUGAAGAUAAGGAUAGGGAAACAGGGAAUGAUCAGCUAGAUGAGAAGGUGGAUCAGAAAGAUGAUAAGGACUCCGAUAAAAGUUCUGAUGGGCAGGCCAACAACCAGAGUUCAGGCGAGCUACUUCCUUCAGGGGCUCAGUCAGAGCUUUCGAAUGAGACCUCCACUCAGAGUGGGUCGUGGUCAACUCAGGCGGCAGAGUCAAAGAAUGAGAAGGAAACUCAACAGUCUUCUAACCAGCAAAAGGGGUACAAUUGGAAACUGUGCAAUGUCACUGCUGGGCCUGAUUUCAUCCCAUGUCUUGACAAUUUGCAAGCAAUCAGGAGUCUUCAAUCUACAAAGCACUAUGAACAUCGAGAGAGGCACUGUCCUGAAGAACCUCCAACCUGUCUUGUUCUGCUUCCUGAAGGAUAUAAACGGCCAAUUGAGUGGCCUAC